UACAGAGGUCCCGAGCGUUGUUCGGAUUCAUUGGGCGUAAAGGGUGCGUAGGUGGCGCCGUAAGUGGGGGUGUGAAAUCCCCGGGGCUUAACCCCGGGACUGCAUUCCAUACUGCGGUGCUUGAGGACUGGAGAGGAGACUGGAAUUCAUGUGUAGCAGUGAAAAUGCGUAGAGAUCAUGAGGAAGACCAGUGGCGAAGGGCGGGGUCUCUGGACAGUUUCCUGACACUGAGGCACGAAAGGCCCAGGGGGAGCAAAACGGGG
rnacentral:rRNA from 1 species